GUCCUGGGACAGAUCUCCUGGUUUUCAGCCUAGGGUCUUGCUCUGUUGCCCACAUUGAAGUGCAGUGUCACCAUCAUUGCUCACCACUAAUUGCAGCAUUGAUCUCCCAGGGCUCAAAUGAUCCUCCCAUCACAGCCUCCCAAGCAGGAGUUGAAUUGUGUCCCCGGCCAAAAAGAUGUUAAAGUCCUGACCGCCAGUAGCUCAGAAUUUGAUCUUAUGUAAAGUUUGGAAAUAAGGGUGUUGCGGGUGUGAUUAGUUAGGACAAUAUCCUUAUAAGAAGAUGGCCAUGUGAAGACAGAAACAUACAGGGAGAAUGCCAUGUGGCAUGGAAGCAGAGAUUGGAGUUUUGCAGCUGCAAGCCAAGAAAUGCCAAAAGUUGCUGGCAAACCACCAGAACCUAGGAGAGGAGAGGAAGGAUUCAUCCACAAGUUUCGGAGGGAGCAUGGCCCUGCAGACACCUUGACUUCAGAAUUCCAGCUUCCAGAACUGUGAAAUAAUAAAUGUUUGUUGCUCUAAGCCACUCAGUCGGUGGUAGUCUGUAAUGGCAGUUCUAUGGAGACAAUACACUAUCCUCCUAAGAUGA